rnacentral:rRNA from 1 species
AACGAACGCUGGCGGCGGGCUUAACACAUGCAAGUCGAACGAGAUCUUCGGAUCUAGUGGCAGACGGGUGAGGAACACGUGGGAACAUCCCUUUCAGUUCGGAAUAUCGUUGGGAAACUAACGCUAAUACCGGAUACGUCCUUCGGGAGAAAGAUUUAUCGCUGAAAGAUUGGCCCGCGUCUGAUUAGCUAGUUGGUGAGGUAACGGCUCACCAAGGCUACGAUCAGUAGCUGAUCUGAGAGGAUGAUCAGCCACAUUGGGACUGAGACACGGCCCAAACUCCUACGGGAGGCAGCAGUGGGGAAUAUUGGACAAUGGGCGCAAGCCUGAUCCAGCCAUGCCGCGUGAGUGAUGACGGCCUUCGGGUUGUAAAGCUCUUUUGUCCGGGAAGAUAAUGACUGUACCGGAAGAAUAAGCCCCGGCAAACUUCGUGCCAGCAGCCGCGGUAA